CAAAAUCUGCACAUUCUCAAAAACCACCCGGCCGAGUGCACCACAUGCAAACCCAAUUCACAUUGGGAAAAAAACCAACCCCUUUACCCGAAGGUACACCAAUGCAUCCGGAUGUGAUGCGAAUGACUGGGAAUCGACAGCAGAAUAACGAAUCAGCAGGAGAUAUCAACAAAGGAAGGAAUCAACAAAGGAGGGAAUACUAGACAUCCAAAACACAAACAACAGCAGCAACAACAAAUAAAAAGAUUUAUUUUAUUUAA